UUGAUACUUAGUACUUACCAGUGCUAGAUCAAGUGGGCAGAGCCCGAGCCCAAAAGGAAUAAAAUAAACGUUAAUGAAUUUUUCGAAAAACCAAAGCGAAAGUAUUUUCCCGCCUUUGUGGUCUUUUGGCAUCUGACAGUCACACAGCUAAAAUCUCCAUAAUUUUCACUUUCAAAAUUCAGUUCCAUCUCGAGGGUUUCGAUCUCCAAAACCCUAACACUAAUUUUCCCCACAAUUCCACUCCGUACAAUUCCAUCGAUUCCUAGGGUUUCGAUUGGGUGAAGAAAUCUUGCGGAACCAUGUACAUCAAGGAGAUAUGCUUGGAGGGGUUCAAGUCGUACGCGACGAGGACCGUGGUACCGGGAUUCGACAAGUACUUCAACGCGAUAACGGGGCUGAACGGGUCGGGCAAGUCGAACAUUCUCGACUCGAUUUGCUUCGUCCUGGGGAUCACGAAUUUGCAGCAGGUUAGGGCUUCGAAUCUUCAGGAGCUCGUGUACAAGCAAGGCCAGGCCGGGAUCACCAAGGCUACCGUCUCCAUCGUCUUCGAUAACUCUGAUAGGAGUCGGAGCCCCCUCGGUUACGAGGACCACCCGGAAAUUACUGUUACCCGACAGAUUGUGGUUGGUGGGAGGAACAAAUAUCUAAUAAAUGGAAAACUCGCCCAGCCUAGUCAGGUGCAGAAUCUUUUCCAUUCGGUGCAGCUUAAUAUAAACAAUCCACAUUUUCUCAUAAUGCAAGGGCGCAUUACCAAGGUUUUAAAUAUGAAACCCCCCGAGAUUCUGUCUAUGCUUGAAGAGGCUGCUGGGACAAGAAUGUACGAGACGAAGAAAGAGUCUGCAUUGAAAACGCUUGAGAAGAAGCAGACUAAGGUUGAUGAGAUUAACAAGCUUCUUGAUCAGGAAAUACUGCCCGCUUUGGAGAAGUUGAGGAAAGAACGGACCCAGUACAUGCAAUGGGCUAAUGGCAAUGCUGAUUUGGAUCGACUUAAAAGGUUUUGCAUUGCUUAUGAAUAUGUUCAAGCAGAGAGGAUUAGAGGCAAUGCAGUGUGUGAGGUGGAACAGGUGAAGGCCAGGAUUGCCGAGAUUGAUGACAAUGUGGGAAGUGCGCAAGCAGAAAUACAGGAGAUGGAGACUAAAAUAUCAAAAUUGACUGCUGAAAAGGAAGCAAGUAUGGGUACGGAAGUUAAAUCUUUGUCACAGAGAGUUGAUGCACUUUCUCAAGAUCUUGUGAGGGAAGUAUCUGUGUUGAACAAUAAAGAGGACACUCUCAAAAGUGAAAAAGAAAAUGCUGAAAAGAUUGUGAGUAAUAUUGAAGAUUUGAGGCACUCUGUAGAAGAGAAGGCCUCUGCUGUUAGGAAGGCUGAAGAAGGAGCAGCUGAUCUGAAAAAGAGGGCUGAGGAACUUUCUAAGAAUUUGGAGGAGUAUGAAAAGGAUUACCAGGGUGUGUUAGCUGGCAAAAGCAGUGGAAAUGAGGAGAAAUGCCUUGAAGAUCAACUUGGUGAUGCUAAGGUUGCUGUUGGGAGUGCUGAAACUGAAUUGAAACAGUUGAAAACAAAAAUAAGCCAUUGUGAGAAGGAGCUGAAAGAGAAAACACAUCAAUUAAUGUCAAAGCGUGAAGAAGCUGUUUCUGUAGAGAAUGAGCUUAAUGCCAGAAGAAGGGAUGUGGAGAAUGUUAAAACGGCAUUGGAGUCUCUUCCAUGUAAAGAGGGACAGAUGGAGGCUCUACAAAAGGAUCGUGCAUCUGAGUUGGAGCAGGUACAGAAGUUGAAGGAUGAAAUACGUAAUCUGUCAGCACAAUUGGCAAAUGUUGAGUUCACAUACCGUGACCCUCAGAAGAAUUUUGACAGGUCAAAGGUAAAAGGUGUGAUAGCAAAACUCAUCAAAGUAAAGGAUAGCUCCACAAUGACUGCCUUAGAGGUUACUGCUGGUGGAAAGAUGUUUAAUGUUGUUGUAGACUCAGAAAAUACUGGAAAACAACUGCUUCAAAAUGGCAACCUUCGAAGAAGAGUGACAAUUAUACCUUUGAAUAAAAUACAGUCCCACACUGUCCCCACUAGGGUUCGACAUGCUGCUGUUAGAUUGGUUGGCAAGGAGAAUGCAGAACUGGCGCUUUCUUUGGUUGGCUAUGAGGAGGAAUUGAAGGGUGCUAUGGAAUAUGUAUUUGGUUCGACCUUUGUUUGCAAGACCAUUGAUGCUGCAAAGGAGGUUGCUUUCAAUAGGGAAAUUCACACCCCUAGUGUCACUCUUGAAGGUGAUAUAUUUCAGCCAAGCGGUCUUUUGACUGGUGGAAGCCGCAAGGGUGGUGGUGAUUUGUUAAGGCAACUUCAUCAUUUGUCAGAGGCUGAAUCAAAGCUUUCUACACAUCAGAAAAAGUUGUCUGAAAUUGAAGCAAAGAUUGCAGAGCUCCUGCCUCAUCAGAAAAAGUUCAUGGACCUUAAGGCACAGUUGGAGCUGAAAUCAUAUGACCUUAAAUUAUUUGAAGGCAGGGCUGAGCAAAAUGAGCAUCAUAAGCUUGGUGAAAUAGUGAAGAGGAUUGAGCAGGAGCUUGAAGAAGCAAAAUUGGCGGCUAAAGAAAAGCAACUUUUGUAUGAAAACUGUGUAAAUACAGUUUCUUUGCUUGAGAAAUCUGUCAAAGAGCAUGAUAAUAAUCGGGAGGGCAGGCUAAAAGAUUUGGAGAAAAAGAUUAAGGCAAUUAAAGCUCAAAUGCAGUCAUCUUCCAAAGCUCUCAAGGGGCAUGAAAAUGAGAAGGAGAGGCUUGUUAUGGAAAUGGAAGCUGUUGUAGAGGAACGUGCAUCCUUAGAGACUCAACUAGCUUCUUUGAGAACACAAAUCGAAAGUCUCACUUCAGAAGUAGAAGAGCAUAAAUCCAAGGUUGCUGCCACAAGGAAUAAACAUGGUCAGGCGCAAUCUGAGCUAAAUCUGAUCCGUUCAAAGAUGCAGGAAUGUGACUCACAAAUCAGUUGUAUUCUUAGGGAGCAGGCGAAACUUCAACAUAAAAUUAGUGAGACUAAUCUUGAGAGGAAGAAAAUGGAGAAUGAGGUAAAACGAAUGGAGAUGGAACAGAAAGAUUGCUCUACAAAAGUAGACAAACUGAUUGAGAAGCAUGCCUGGAUUGCGUCAGAGAAAUUGCUAUUUGGAAGAAGUGGGACUGAUUAUGAUUUUGCAUCUCGUGAUCCUUUGAAGGCAAGGGAAGAACUUGAGAAACUGCAGGCCGAACAAUCAGGCCUUGAGAAAAGGGUGAACAAGAAAGUAAUGGCAAUGUUUGAGAAAGCAGAAGAUGAGUACAAUGAGUUGAUGUCUAAGAAAAACAUCAUUGAGAAUGACAAGUCAAAAAUUACGAAGGUAAUUGAAGAGCUAGAUGAGAAGAAGAAGGAAACACUAAAAGUUACUUGGGUUAAAGUUAACAAUGACUUCGGAUCCAUCUUCUCUACCCUAUUACCGGGAACCAUGGCAAAGCUAGAACCUCCUGAAGGAUGCAGCUUCCUUGAUGGUCUUGAGGUUCGUGUUGCAUUUGGAGGUGUUUGGAAACAAUCCCUGUCAGAACUCAGUGGAGGUCAACGAUCUCUGCUUGCAUUAUCUCUAAUCUUGGCACUGCUCCUUUUUAAACCAGCUCCACUUUACAUAUUGGAUGAGGUCGAUGCAGCUCUCGAUCUAAGCCACACACAGAACAUUGGGCGAAUGAUAAAAGCUCACUUCCCACAUUCACAGUUUAUUGUAGUCUCGUUAAAAGAAGGCAUGUUCAACAAUGCUAAUGUGCUUUUCCGGACAAAAUUUGUGGAUGGUGUUUCCACUGUUCAGAGGACUGUUGCGGCUAAGCAGAGCAAGUGAUCGAUGCUGUCUUGUGAUGUCUUAGCAUUUAAUUCUAGUAAGGUGGCUGUAUGUAAGUCAAGCUAAUGGAGAGUUUGCAGUUACCUCCAUAUAUCCAGGCCAGUGAAGUUUAUUACUGGGUUGACUGUCCAAAGUCUGAUUUGCAAACUCAUUGCUAAAGAAUUGCAAACCUCCAGCUACUGAUCUGAUUUCCUUUGCAACACAUUCAUCACUUUCCUCUAUUAAAUGCUACAGAUCAAUCUUUAAUACCUCCUCUCUUUUCUUUUUUCUUUCUUCCUUUUUAUUUAUUUAUUUAUAAUAGAAUGGUACUUUGGUCAUU